CCAACACAAGUCAAACACAACCCUGGCAAAUAAGCAUCUCCUCAUAGAGGUGCAUAAAAUCAAUGCAUCUCUAUGAGGAAAGUUCAGUGUCUCCAUGCAGAGGGUGGAGACACUGAAUGCCUGCACAGUGUGCAGCACUUCCACAGUAAGCACCUCUGCUAGCCAGUGGAGGUUUUCCUAGGCUUUAAUAUAAACACAGAGGAGUGGCCAGUGGAGGUGUUCCUAGGCUGUAAUGUAAAC